rnacentral:rRNA from 1 species
GACGAACGCUGGCGGCGUGCCUAAUACAUGCAAGUCGAACGCACUCUCGUUUAGAUUGAAGGAGCUUGCUCCUGAUUGAUAAACAUUUGAGUGAGUGGCGGACGGGUGAGUAACACGUGGGUAACCUGCCCUAAAGUGGGGGAUAACAUUUGGAAACAGAUGCUAAUACCGCAUAAAACCUAACACCGCAUGGUGUAGGGUUGAAAGAUGGUUUCGGCUAUCACUUUAGGAUGGACCCGCGGUGCAUUAGUUAGUUGGUGAGGUAAAGGCUCACCAAGACCGUGAUGCAUAGCCGACCUGAGAGGGUAAUCGGCCACACUGGGACUGAGACACGGCCCAGACUCCUACGGGAGGCAGCAGUAGGAAUCUUCCACAAUGGACGAAAGUCUGAUGGAGCAACGCCGCGUGAGUGAAGAAGGUUUUCGGAUCGUAAAACUCUGUUGUUGGAGAAGAAUGUAUCUGAUAGUAACUGAUCAGGUAG